rnacentral:rRNA from 1 species
GACGAACGCUGGCGGCGCGCCUAACACAUGCAAGUCGAACGAGCGAGAGAGAGCUUGCUUUCUCAAGCGAGUGGCGCACGGGUGAGUAACGCGUGAGGAACCUGCCUCAAAGAGGGGGACAACAGUUGGAAACGACUGCUAUUACCGCAUAAGCCCACAGGUCGGCCUCGACCUGAGGGAAAAGGAGCCAUCCGCUUUGAGAUGGCCUCGCGUCCGAUUAGCUAGUUGGUGAGGUAACGGCCCACCAAGGCAACGAUCGGUAGCCGGACUGAGAGGUUGAACGGCCACAGUGGGGCUGAGACACGGCCCAGACUCCUACGGGAGGCAGCAGUGGGGAAUAUUGCACAAUGGGGGAAACCCUGAUGCAGCGACGCCGCGUGGAGGAAGAAGGUCUUCGGAUUGUAAACGCCUGUUGUUGAGGAAGAUAAUGACGGUACUCAACAAGGAAGUGACGGCUAACUACGUG